UACGUAGGGUGCUAGCGUUGUUCGGAAUUAUUGGGCGUAAAGCGCGUGUAGGUGGUCAUGCAAGUCAGAUGUGAAAGCCCUGGGCUCAACCCAGGAUGUGCACCUGAAACUGCAUGGCUAGAGGACGGUAGAGGGAGGUGGAAUUCCAGGUGUAGAGGUGAAAUUCGUAGAUAUCUGGAGGAAUACCGGUGGCGAAGGCGGCCUCCUGGGCCGUUCCUGACACUGAGACGCGAAAGCGUGGGGAGCAAACAGG
rnacentral:misc_RNA from 1 species